UCUCCUGGGAUAUCUUAGUUGGUAGAGCAGGAGACUCUUAAUCUCAGGGUCGUGGGCUUGAGCCCCACAUCGGGUGAA